CAGCAGUAAGGAAUAUUGGUCAAUGGACGCAAGUCUGAACCAGCCAAGUAGCGUGCAGGAAGACGGCCCUCUGGGUUGUAAACUGCUUUUAGGUGGGAAUAAAGUGCACCACGUGUGGUGUUUUGUAUGUACCAUCAGAAAAAGGACCGGCUAAUUCCGUGCCAGCAGCCGCGGUAAUACGGAAGGUUCAGGCGUUAUCCGGAUUUAUUGGGUUUAAAGGGAGCGCAGGCGGACCUUUAAGUCAGCUGUGAAAUACGGCGGCUCAACCGUCGAACUGCAGUUGAUACUGGAGGUCUUGAGUGCACACAGGGAUACUGGAAUUCAUGGUGUAGCGGUGAAAUGCUCAGAUAUCAUGAAGAACUCCGAUCGCGAAGGCAGGUAUCCGGGGUGCAACUGACGCUGAGGCUCGAAAGUGCGGGUAUCAAACAGGAUUAGAUACCCUGGUAGUCCGCACAGUAAACGAUGAAUACUCGCGAUUUGCGAUACAGUGUAAGUCGCCAAGCGAAAGCGUUAAGUAUUCCACCUGGGGAGUACGCCGGCAACGGUGCAACUCAAAGGAAU
rnacentral:rRNA from 1 species